rnacentral:tRNA from 1 species
GGGCGGAUGGUGAAACUGGCAGACACGCUAGCCUUAGGAGCUAGUGGAGCAAUCCAUGGAGGUUCGACUCCUCUUCCGCCCACCA